rnacentral:lncRNA from 1 species
AGUCAUAUUAGCUCUUUCUAAUUUUCGUUUUUUUUUACUUAAUUGCCUGUUUUUCCACAGGCCAAAAGUGUUUAAAAUAGAACCGAGCGUCAAGUGAAAUGUUUACAAUGUGAAAGAAAGGUAAAUGGAAAUGGACCGAACGGAAGCGGACUGCUAUGAAGGAGGAAUGGGGCGCAGUAAGCGAGUCCUAACUAAGCGUUUUAGAAUCUUAUUAUAAUUUGUGUUCCAACUGGCACAGCACUUGAGCUGCAUCCCGAGCACCCGAAACAUCAUGGAGUUUUGCCCCAAAAUGGAGGAAGGCGGUGGAAAACAGAAGGAAGAAAGAACAUCUCAGAACAUAAACAUGCAGAAAUGUUUAGAGAAUAAAAAUGGUCAUAUUCGAAGCGAGUUUUCAUCUUUUUCUAGUCCGCAUUUUCCCCUCUCUGAUUUGUUUAUUUUCACUCGCAAACUGAUAGAUACUCGUACUCGUAUUCGUAUUCGUAUUCGUAUUCGUACACCGGCUGACUAAGACCCAGGCUCCGAGUGGGAUCGGGAAUGGAAAUCGUAUCGUAUGGAGAGUGUUGCUGACUGGAUGCUGACUAGAUGACUGGGUGUGGCCGCAGGCAUGUUUAGACGAAGCAACCGAUUGUUGAAUUACGGCUAUAGAACUUCCUCUGCUCAAAUCACUCGAGUGCGAAAAACCGCUUGAAUUUUGAUGCUGAACUGCACUCAUCGAUCCUCCUCCUUCCAUUCUCCAUGCAAUUAAUUCUCUCCCCCUUUUUUGUUUUUUUUUUUUUUGUUUUGUCUGAUUUUAGAAAACAUUUUUCGAUGCCAGAGGGUGGCGUGGGUGUUUGUAUGGGGACGUGCUGCAGCACUAUGACG